rfam:Oryza nivara chromosome 3, whole genome shotgun sequence.
UUAAAGUACAACCAUAAGUUUUUUUUCCUAACUUUGAUCGUCCGUUUUAUUUAAAAAAAUUUUACAAUUAAUAUUUUUAUUGUUAUGAGAUGAUAAAAUAUAAAUAAUAUUUUAUACGUGACUUAUGUUUUUAUUAUUUUUAAGUAAGACGGACGGUUAAAUUUGCGCAUGGAAAAUCAUGGUUAUACUUAAA